rnacentral:rRNA from 1 species
CAAGUCGAACGGUGAAGCCUUUCGGGGUGGAUCAGUGGCGAACGGGUGAGUAACACGUGGGCAAUCUGCCCUGCACUCUGGGACAAGCCCUGGAAACGGGGUCUAAUACCGGAUAUUACUGCUGACCGCAUGGUUGGUGGUGGAAAGCUCCGGCGGUGCAGGAUGAGCCCGCGGCCUAUCAGCUUGUUGGUGGGGUGAUGGCCUACCAAGGCGACGACGGGUAGCCGGCCUGAGAGGGCGACCGGCCACACUGGGACUGAGACACGGCCCAGACUCCUACGGGAGGCAGCAGUGGGGAAUAUUGCACAAUGGGCGCAAGCCUGAUGCAGCGACGCCGCGUGAGGGAUGACGGCCUUCGGGUUGUAAACCUCUUUCAGCAGGGAAGAAGCGUGAGUGACGGUACCUGCAGAAGAAGCACCGGCUAACUACGUGCCAGCAGCCGCGGUAAUACGUAGGGUGCGAGCGUUGUCCGGAAUUAUUGGGCGUAAAGAGCUCGUAGGCGGCUUGUCGCGUCGGAUGUGAAAGCCCGGGGCUUAACUUCGGGUCUGCAUUCGAUACGGGCAGGCUAGAGUUCGGUAGGGGAGAUCGGAAUUCCUGGUGUAGCGGUGAAAUGCGCAGAUAUCAGGAGGA